GAUAAGGCCAAGCUCUUCUCAGUGGUGUGUAGUGAUAGGACAAGGAGUAAUGGCCUAAACCUUGAGCACAGAAAGUUCCAUACAAACAUUCAGGCAAACUUCAUUACAAUCAGAGUGACAGAGCACUGGAACAGGCUGUCCAGAGAGGUGAUGGAGUCUUCUGUGGAAAUAUUCAAGACCCACCUGGGCAUGUAAAUGUGACUUACAAUAAGAACCUGCAUUAGCAAGGAGGUUGGACUAAAUGACCUCUUGAGGUCCCUUCCAACACCUGCAGUUCUGGGAUUCUGUGACCCUGUGCUAACAAUAUUCAAAAAUAUGUGUUGGAUUUUGACCAAUCAAAUAAAAAUACAUAUGUAACUGCUCUGAAAAAGAUAGAAAGCAAAUUAAAACAACAAAAACCUCCUCACCUUUUGCAGUAACCUCUGGAACUGAAUUUUUCAUCUGCUUGCUAAUUUUUUUGUUUGCUAAUGUGCAUCAAAGAGGAUACUGAAAACUUGCCCGAAGGUACUUCUAGGAUGUUUGUGGCCCAUCUAUUUUGGUUUUCCAUGUACCUCUGCUUCUACAUGACCUGAAUUCACAUGUAAGCUUAGCAUUGUGGGUCCAAUUUAUUUAUUAUUAUUAUUAUUAUUUUUUGUUGU
rnacentral:lncRNA from 1 species